CCUACGGGGGGCAGCAGUGAGGAAUAUUGGUCAAUGGACGUAAGUCUGAACCAGCCAAGUCGCGUGAGGGAAGACUGCCCUAUGGGUUGUAAACCUCUUUUAUAAGGGAAGAAUAAGUUCUACGUGUAGAAUGAUGCCUGUACCUUAUGAAUAAGCAUCGGCUAACUCCGUGCCAGCAGCCGCGGUAAUACGGAGGAUGCGAGCGUUAUCCGGAUUUAUUGGGUUUAAAGGGUGCGUAGGUGGUGAUUUAAGUCAGCGGUGAAAGUUUGUGGCUCAACCAUAAAAUUGCCGUUGAAACUGGGUUACUUGAGUGUGUUUGAGGUAGGCGGAAUGCGUGGUGUAGCGGUGAAAUGCAUAGAUAUCACGAAGAACUCCGAUUGCGAAGGCAGCUUGCUGGACUGUAACUGACGCUGAUGCUCGAAAG
rnacentral:rRNA from 1 species